rnacentral:rRNA from 1 species
GUCUCAGGCCGUAUCAGCCUGAAGCGCCCGAUCUCGUCUGAUCUCGGAAGCUAAGCAGGGUCGGGCCUGGUUAGUAUCUUGGAUGGAGACCACCUGGGAAUCCCGGGUGCUCGAGGCU